rnacentral:rRNA from 1 species
UACGUAGGGGGCAAGCGUUGUCCGGAAUUAUUGGGCGUAAAGAGCGCGUAGGCGGUCUGAUAAGUCGGUUGUGAAAGUCGGGGGCUCAACCCUCGGAUGCCGAUCGAUACUGUCAGGCUAGAGUCCGGAAGAGGCGAGUGGGAUUCCUGGUGUAGCGGUGAAAUGCGCAGAUAUCAGGAGGAACACCAAUGGCGAAGGCAGCUCGCUGGGACGGUACUGACGCUGAGGCGCGAAAGCGUGGGGAGCAAACAGG